rnacentral:rRNA from 1 species
CAAUAGCGUAUAUUAAUGUUGUUGCAGUUAAAAAGCUCGUAGUUGGAUUUCUGCGCCGCGCAGCUCGGUCCGCCGCAAUGCGGUGCGACUGCGGCUGGAGCGUCGCAUCCUUGUGGAGACCUUUGAUGCCAUUGAUUUGGUGUUGAAUGGGAACCGCAUCGUUUACUGUGAAAAAAUUAGAGUGUUCAAAGCAGGCAUACGCCGUGAAUACAUUAGCAUGGAAUAAUAAGAUAGGACUUUGGUUCUAUUUUGUUGGUCGGAGGCCAAGGUAAUGAUUAAUAGGGAUAGUUGGGGGUAUUCAUAUUUAAUUGUCAGAGGUGAAAUUCUUGGAUUUAUGAAAGAUGAACUUAUGCGAAAGCAUUUACCAAGGAUGUUUUCAUUAA